UUAAAUUUUGAUUAAUCACAAAGUUGGUAUUUCUUCUUCUGUUUCUGUUAUUUUUCCAUCUUGUAUUUAUCAUUCAUCACUCUCAACUCUCAUCACACAGAAAGAAGAUUGAGAUUCGAUCCAAAAUGGCGACGAAUGAACCAACACAGAUCGCCAUUCUAGGAGCCGGUACAUUUGUGAAGAAUCAGUACAUUCCUAGACUCUCGGAGAUUUCUAAUCUCUUCAACCUCAAAGCAAUUUGGAGCAGAACUCAAGAAUCUGCAACUUCUGCUGUUGAAAUAGCUAACAAACAUUUUGGUGGUGGUGAAGUUCAAUGUAAAUGGGGAGAUAAUGGUCUUGAUGAUAUCAUUCAAGAUCCAUCCAUAACUGCUGUUCUUGUUGUUUUGGCUGGACAAUAUCAGGUUGACAUCUCACUCAAGUUGUUAAAGGCUGGUAAACAUGUCCUUCAAGAGAAACCGGCAGCAUCUUCCAUAAGCGAGCUGGAAACUGCAUUAUCUAACUACAAAUCGAUUUCUGCUGAUGCUCCUGGCCAAAAAAUUUGGUCUGUGGCUGAAAAUUAUCGUUUUGAGCCUGCCUUAUUAGAGGGUAAGAAACUAAUUGCUGACAUUGGGAAAAUGAUGAGUGUCCAAGUUAUUAUAGAAGGAUCAAUGAACAGUUCAAACCCUUACUUUUCAAGCUCUUGGAGGCGCAAUUUUACUGGAGGCUUCAUUCUUGAUAUGGGCGUGCAUUUCAUUGCAGGGUUGAGAAUGCUAGUUGGGUGUGAGGUGGUUUCAGUUUCAGCUAUGACAUCUCAUGUAGAUUUGACCUUACCACCACCAGAUAAUUUAUCAUCUGUCUUUCAUUUGGAGAAUGGAUGCUCAGGAGUAUUUGUAAUGGUUGUCUCCUCCAGAUCACCUAAGAUCUUGUGGCGAGUUGUUGGCACAAAUGGAACCCUUCAAAUUGAGCGUGGAUUCCAAGGACAGCAUGGUUACCUGGUUACAUCAUAUGAUGCUAAUGGACAAAGCAAAAGCUCAUUUUUCCCAUUCAGUGGAGUAACUGAAGAAUUAAAAGCUUUUUUUAAUGAUGUUUCUGAAAACACCCUCAAGAAGGGUAGUCAGUUUGUGCCUGAGCACCGUCUCUCUUUUGUCGAGGGUGCGAGAGAUGUUGCUCUUUUAGAGGCAAUGCUUGAAUCUGGAUCAAGGCAGGGCGAGCUAGUUCAUGUGAAAAAGUUUUGAGGUGAUCAUAGAACUCUUCGCGUCGGCUUUCUUAAUUCAGUAUCUACAGAUAUUUACUGGGUGUAAAUGAACAAGCCCGUGGAUCAAGUCAGGGAGAUCAAUGUGGUUGGAUGGAGUUUUAAGAUUUGUAUAAAUUUAUUGAAAUUAUUAUUGGUAUGCUCGUGCUGAUGCAUCUCAAACUUCUAAUAUCUCGAGACAAAGUAUUCGAAAUAAUGCCAUGUAAGUUGAAUUUAUUACAAUGUCCCAUGCAUCUGUUGAUAAAGGGACAAAUUUAGUAGGUGCUCUCAUCUUUUCCUUUGGAGUAAGAAUUUAGUAUGAAUAUCAGAUCUUUUUAAACUGAUCAGGAGACAAUAAAAAUGCACAAGCAUUGUUUCACAGUCGCAACCAAAUGAGCGUGGGGGGAAAACGUUGGCACUUCCAUUUAAACAGAAUC